rnacentral:rRNA from 1 species
UUGAACGCUGGCGGCAUGCCUUACACAUGCAAGUCGAACGGCAGCACGGGUGCUUGCACCUGGUGGCGAGUGGCGAACGGGUGAGUAAUACAUCGGAACAUGUCCUGUAGUGGGGGAUAGCCCGGCGAAAGCCGGAUUAAUACCGCAUACGAUCUACGGAUGAAAGCGGGGGACCUUCGGGCCUCGCGCUAUAGGGUUGGCCGAUGGCUGAUUAGCUAGUUGGUGGGGUAAAGGCCUACCAAGGCGACGAUCAGUAGCUGGUCUGAGAGGACGACCAGCCACACUGGGACUGAGACACGGCCCAGACUCCUACGGGAGGCAGCAGUGGGGAAUUUUGGACAAUGGGCGAAAGCCUGAUCCAGCAAUGCCGCGUGUGUGAAGAAGGCCUUCGGGUUGUAAAGCACUUUUGUCCGGAAAGAAAUCCUUGGCCCUAAUACGGUCGGGGGAUGACGGUACCGGAAGAAUAAGCACCGGCUAACUACGC